GGCUCUUGUCUCAUUAUACUGAUCUAUAGCAUAGUUUUGAAUCAGUAGAGAUCAUAGGUAUAGUCUUGACCACUUUCUUAUAAGGUCUUAGGCAUUUUUUUUUUUUUGAAACUGAAGGAACUUGUUUCCUUCUUGCCCAUUGUUUCUAUUUGGAAACCAUUUAUAACUGAAUGGGUCACAUAUCAUUUUGGUGUGUAUAAU
rnacentral:lncRNA from 1 species